CGGGAGGCUGCACCAGUGAGGAAUAUUGCACAAUGGGGGGAACCCUGAUGCAGCAACGCCGCGUGGAGGAUGACGCAUUUCGGUGUGUAAACUCCUUUUAUAUGUCAAGAAAAUGACGGUAGCAUAUGAAUAAGCACCGGCUAACUCCGUGCCAGCAGCCGCGGUAAUACGGAGGGUGCAAGCGUUACUCGGAAUCACUGGGCGUAAAGGACGCGUAGGAGGGUUGGAAAGUCAGGUGUGAAAUCCUACAGCUUAACUGUAGAACUGCACUUGAAACUUCUAAUCUAGAGUAUGGGAGGGGGAGAUGGAAUUAGUGGUGUAGGGGUAAAAUCCGUAGAUAUCACUAGGAAUACCUAAAGCGAAGGCGAUCUCCUGGAACAUUACUGACGCUAAGGCGUGAAAGCGUGGGGAGCAAACAGGAUUAGAUACCCCUGUAGUC
rnacentral:rRNA from 1 species